GAUGAACGCUAGCUACAGGCUUAACACAUGCAAGUCGAGGGACCGGCGCACGGGUGAGUAACACGUAUCCAACCUGCCCUUUACUCGGGGAUAGCCUUUCGAAAGAAAGAUUAAUACCCGAUGUAAAGGAUGGGGUUGCGGUCCAUUAGGUUGUUGGUGAGGCAACGGCUCACCAAGCCUUCGAUGGAUAGGGGUUCGGGGAGGAAGGUCCCCCACAUUGGAAUUGAGACACGGUCCAAACUCCUACGGGAGGCAGCGGUGAGGAAUAUUGGUCAAUGGGCGUUAGCCUGAACCAGCCAAGUAGCGUGAAGGAUGAAUGCUUAUGGGUCGUAAACGUCUUUUAUAUAAGAAUCUGUAUUAUAUGAAUAAGGAUCGGCUAACUCCGUGCCAGCAGCCGCUGUAAUUC
rnacentral:rRNA from 1 species